UACGUAGGGGGCGAGCGUUGUCCGGAUUCAUUGGGCGUAAAGAGCUCGUAGGCGGUUCAGUAAGUCGGGUGUGAAAUCUCCGUGCUCAACGACGGGAGCGCCACCUGAUACUGCUGUGACUCGAGUCCGGUAGGGGAGUGUGGAAUUCCCGGUGUAGCGGUGAAAUGCGCAGAUAUCGGGAGGAACACCAGUAGCGAAGGCGGCACUCUGGGCCGUGACUGACGCUGAGGAGCGAAAGGCGUGGGGAGCGAACAGG
rnacentral:rRNA from 1 species